rnacentral:lncRNA from 10 species
GCAGUCUAGCUGGAAACUGUACUUUCAUAUCUAGGUGGAGCUUUGGGACCAGUUAUUGCAAAUGGAAAGAAUACAACAGAAAUCUCUUACUGCCUGUAUUUUGGUGACAGAAACUGCAAGUGCAUGAGCGCAUUGUAAAUGAGAGUAUAAGAGAAUGUAAAUGAGUUGUCUUAAGUGUCACAACCAGCAAUGAUACUGGAAAUAAAUCUCAAGAGUUUCUAUUCCCAGUUUCUGAUUGUUACGUAUCUGGAAUUAGAAGUGAAUAACAAGAUGAUCAUAUUUUACUCACUGUGAAGUACUGCUCACCUAAGACAAGAUUCCAAAGGGAGUGAUCAUCUGUUCUUGAGAACCAUGUUUUGAAUAUGCUGUCUUCCCUUGAUAUUAGAGGGUAAUGAUUUUGGUCUUGUAGGAUCUAGAGGUUCUCUCAGCUUUGAGGGCAGUUGGUGAGUACAGUGACACAAUUUACUCUGCAGACCCCUGGAUCUGGACCAGACCAUACCUCGGCUCAAGAGUCAGCGUGGGAAUUGAUAACCUAUGCUGCCUGGCCAAUAUCUGAAUCUUAUUGGUGCCAUGGAGUUGAAGACGCCAACUGAGGCUUUAGUGGUGUAAUAAUGAGAGUGUGGGCUCUAGUAGAAGGCUGCCUGGGUUUGUAUCCUAGUUUAACAGUUUACUACUUGUACCAACAUGGGCAAAUUGCUUAAUUUUUCCAAACUCAUUUCAUCAUAUUUAAAAAGGAGAGUUUGCUGGUGUCUAUCUCAUAGGAUUAUAACGGAGAGUUAAAGAGAGAAUAUAUGAGAAACACCAAGAAUAGUACACGGAACGUAGCAAGCACAUAAUAAACAUUAACUUUCAUUACUGUUAUUAUUAUUAUUGGUAACAAUAAUGAUAAGCAUACUUGUAUAACUUUAUAAAGUAUAUUUAUAGUAACAUUGGUGGCACUUUUAUUUUACAUGGCAUACCAUAUUGUGCUUCGUUAGUUAAAGAAUAUUCCCACUUAAGGAAUGUCUAGAUUGUGCCAGCUUGAGUCCAACAAGAAACAAAUGCAAAGUCAGGAUUAGAAAAGCAAACAAUUAAUUGGAGAAAAUACCUAUGAAGGGUAAAGGUAGAGGAAGCUAGAGUAGGCAGGGAGAGCCUUUAGAAUGUAAUGCGGAUCUGACACUUAUGAAAAAAGAAAGAGGACAUAAAGGAACAUUGGGCAGCAAGAGGUACAGACUGCAGCCACUUUUGAGAAGACCUUCGCCAGAUAAACGGGAAAGGGGAGGUCCCUGAGCCAUGGUUGUGUGCUAUAAGGAUCCCCUGUUGGACAGGAAAGUAUCUUCAUUAGUACCCCUACCAUAUUCCAUCACUGACUAGGAGAACCAGGGAGUACAUGUGGCCUUACCAUUAAAA